ACGGGCCUCUAGGUCGCCUGGC
rnacentral:miRNA from 1 species